UGGGCGCAAGCCUGACGGAGCAAUACCGCGUGAGGGAGGAAGGCCCUUGGGUUGUAAACCUCUUUUCUGGGGGACGAAAGCUGACGGUACCCCAGGAAUAAGCCUCGGCUAACUCCGUGCCAGCAGCCGCGGUAAGACGGAGGAGGCAAGCGUUAUCCGGAAUUAUUGGGCGUAAAGGGUACGUAGGCGGCUGGUCAAGUCUGGGGUCAAAGGCCACAGCUCAACUGUGGGAAGGCCCUGGAAACUGACCGGCUAGAGUGAGGUAGGGGUUGCGGGAAUUCCCGGUGUAGCGGUGAAAUGCGUAGAGAUCGGGAAGAACACCUUAGGCGGAAGCGCGCAACUGGGCCUCAAUCUGACGCUGAGGUACGAAAGCUAGGGG
rnacentral:rRNA from 1 species